GACCAAGAUAUUGUUUUAGUUUGUUGAAGAGAAGAAAGCUAUAACGGAUGCUUCUUCAACUGCUUUUAUUUUUCUGGAUUUAACACUUGGAUAAAGGCUAUAUAUUUCUAAGGUAAUUCCUUGAAGAUGUAUUCUGAGUGCUAAAUUAUUGUGUCUGUCAGUUAUUUAUUUCUUCAGCUAAGUUGAAAAUUAAAGGAUUUAAGGCUGAAUCAAAGUCAUCCUUUCAAACAUCUUGCCUAGGACCCGAACUGCCUCAUCACCAGAAAUAAAAUCUCUGUGAUCAGUGCCCUCUCUCAUGGAACUCUGUUUCCAGCCUCAUCCUUUGGCUGUAUCGUCUAGCUCUCUACCAGAGAACAAAAGGUCUUAUGCCUUUAGAGGGGGAAAACCAGAGUUAAAGAAAAACUCACUGCAAAAUCAGUGUUAAGAAUCAGAUACAACCAGAGCAGUGGUUAUGGGGUGAGUGGUAGGU
rnacentral:lncRNA from 1 species